rnacentral:lncRNA from 1 species
UUUAAGAGUUAUGGCAAAGGCUGACAAGGCAGAAAGGCUGUAUGACUUAGAAAUAAAGAAAAUGAACCCUCCUACCAAAGUAUGUCUGGAAGAGUAUAACAUGUUCCCAGAACUGUGUUACCCAAGAAAUAUUGCAAUGCCUGGAGAUGUGGUAAAGAGCUUAUGGACUCACCUGAGAGUGGACGCCUAGCUGUGGGCUUUGUAUGAGCUCAGCUGCAGCAGAACCUGGAGUAGCAUCCUUACAUGAGAAGAGCAAGCUUUGGGAUCACUCGUGUUUCAGAAGAAAACACCUCCAGCAAGUGUCCUGGGAAGGCUGUCAGAGCAGCACUUUGCUGGUGCAAAGGAGGCAGUGAGAUGAUGACCGAGGAGUUACUCAUUCUUUGUCAGAGGUUCCAUGGCUCCUUUUGGGAAGUGGACAGCUGCUUUUCCACAGCAGAAAAUCAUUGCUGGUGUAAAGGCAGGUGA